GAUGAACGCUGGCGGCGUGCUUAACACAUGCAAGUCGAACGAUGAAGCCCAGCUUGCUGGGUGGAUUCGUGGCGAACGGGUGAGUAACACGUGAGUAACCUGCCCUUAACUCUGGGAUAAGCCUGGGAAACUGGGUCUAAUACCGGCUAGGAGCGUCCACCGCAUGGUGGGUGUUGGAAAGAUUUAUCGGUUUUGGAUGGACUCGCGGCCUAUCAGCUUGUUGGUGGGGUGAUGGCUCACCAAGGCGACGGCGGGUAGCCGGCCUGUGAGGGUGACCGGCCACACUGGGACUGAGGCAAGGCACAGACUGCUACGGGAGGCAGCAGUGGGGAAGAUUGCACAAUGGGCGCAAGCCUGGUGCAGCGACGCCGCGUGAGGGAUGACGGCCUUCGGGGUGUAAACCACUUUCAGUAGGGAAGAAGCGAAAGUGACGGUACCUGCAGAAGAAGCACCGGCUAACUACGUG
rnacentral:rRNA from 1 species